UACGAAGGGGGGCUAGCGUUGCUCGGAAUUACUGGGCGUAAAGGGCGCGUAGGCGGAUAUCUAAGUUGGGGGUGAAAGCCCACGGCUCAACCGUGGAGGGUCAUUGGAAACUGGGGAACUUGAGUGCAGAAGAGGAAAGUGGAAUUCCAAGUGUAGCGGUGAAAUGCGUAGAGAUUUGGAGGAACACCAGUGGCGAAGGCGACUUUCUGGUCUGUAACUGACACUGAGGCGCGAAAGCGUGGGGAGCAAACAGG
rnacentral:rRNA from 1 species